AAACGGCGCGGCACUGCGGCUCUCGGGAGUCUGGAGAGGGGGGAGGGGUCUGAGGCCAUGGGUCCAGAAACCGUUACUGGGAAGGCAACAUGUCUCCUAAAACAGUAUGUUUGAUGGUGCUGACUCCCAUUACCUCUGAAACGACUGAGGAUACUUCUCUUAACCACCUGGGCACCUGGUCAGUUUCACCACCAUUCUGAGAAGAGCAGAGCCAUGAAGCCAGAAACAUACAAGGAUGCUGUGCUGGAGCUUGGCUUCAACUGGGUACUGACCUGAGCCCUGGUUGUUCUACUCAUAGAAUCCUCGGCUCUCUCUUUCUUCUACAGGAGUACUUGUCUGCGCCUAUUCCCCUUAGAGGGUCCUUGAUCAGUCAAGAGGAGGAGGCAGCUCCAUGUUUACACCAGAUCACAAAUUCCAUGUCCCAUCUCCAGCCCUACCCCAACCCACCCCUUUUCCAGACUUUAAAAGUUUCAGAAAAUGACCGUGACUCAGUCUGGAUCAAGAGCUGCUGACCAAUCGCCAAAUUUAAACUUCAACCGAAUGACAUGGUUGGUAUGGCCAAACAGCAACUCCUCAAAGGAAGAGAAAUGCUGUGUCCAGAGAAAUGACUUCUUGACAGAUAAAAACAGAUACCAACCUUCUCCGCAUCUUGGAAUUUGACUUCUAGCCCAUUUGAUUUACAGUACUUGUCAGCGCCUUCCUCCUGUCCAACAGAACUCCCAAACUUAGCUGCUCCCAGCUAAGCCAACAAGAUGACACUGCACUCCAAAAGAUACUGAAAGGCAAAAACCAAGAGUUAUAAACUGCAGCUAUAUACAAGGCUUCUUAAAUGCAGGGAGCUUUGAACAGAUGGACUACGUUAAUAUAAUUAAAAAGUAAUU